UUUUGGAUUUAAUUACAACAGCUUUGUUUUGAGACACGUUACACACUUUGAAAAACUGGAGACCUGAGGUGGUGACAAACCAGGACUUGGGAUCACUGACUAGGACAAUCGGAGCUUUAUUCUAGUGUUCUUUGAGCAUUUGAGCAUGGAGCUGCUUCGACUGAGAAGUACUCACGUGGAUAUCACAUAACAAAGAUGUGAUUAAUGACGGAAAAGCACACUGAGAACGGACUGCUCCGGCCAGAAGUUAUGUGUAGGAAUCAUCUAGCUCCUAAAUAUUCCAUUUGCAAUGUACUACAUUUGGGACAUUGGUCCUAAAGGCAUCUUUCUUGUGGAAUGUCCAUGUGGACACUGCCUAAGGGACUUUUUUUUUUUUUUUUUUUAAUUGGCUCAAGAACAGAGAACCAGGUUUGGGGUGGAUUAGAAAGAUAAAACAUCUCCAUUACGUCUUUUCUGCCUUUAAGCCCUGCAACUAAAGUGCACUGGCUAUGACUGAUCAUCGUUUAAGUUAACAUGCUCAAGGUUGCACAGUACAUGGAAGGGCUGGGAUCUGAAUAGCCUGUACUACACACCUAAUUGGAAUCAAGGUCAUAGAGGCCUUAUAAGCUAUGCCAAAGGCGUCAGGCUUUAAAGACUCGAGAACUCAACAGCAGUGUUUAGCUCCAAUUGAUGACUAAUGGGCAGAAGAGUACGUCUUAAGAAAAACAGGAUACUCAAGAGAAGAAAAGGGGAAAGAGCCAACAACUAUUGAGCAUCUCUCAUUGCCAAGCACUGUGCUUACAAACCAUUAUCUCACUUAAUUCUCACUACAACCCCAGUAGGUUGGCAUUGUUACCCACCCACUAUAAAGAUGAGAAAAUUGAGGCUCCAAGAUGUGAAGAGACUCCCCCAAAUCCCACAGCUAAAAAGUGGCGGCACUGGGAUGAAAGUCCAAUUCUACCUGACUCCAGAGCCCCCAGAUCCUCCCUCCACCAUCCUCAACUGCUCUUUCCUGAACCCCAAGUUUCCUCAUCUACAAAAUAAAGCGGUUGAGUCAGAGGAUUUCUGAUGCUCCUCACAGCUCUUUCUGUAUGGCCUUCAUGGUUGAGGGGGAGAAAGGGAACUGGGAAGGGAUCUCAGACACUAGGGCAAACACUGCUCUCUCCUAAGUGGGAAAGCACUGGGACCCUGUGUCCUAACUGUACUAUAGCUUAAAAAACAAGAGAGGCUGGCACUUAAUUUUUUUAUAACUUUGGACAGGAUACUCAAGAGAAGGAAAGGAGAAAGAGCCAACAAGUAUUGAGCAUCUCUCAUGGCCAACCACUGUGUUUACAUACCAUUAUCUCACUGAAUUCUCACUACAACCCCAGUUGACUCCCUGACUGAUGAAAGGAGGCUGGUGCUGCUGACAGCACCAUAAAUGAUGAUGGAACUCCCUAAGCCCACCACUUUUUUAAAAAUAUGUAUUUUUAUUGAUUUCAGAGAGGAAGGGAGAGGGAGAGAGAGAUAGAAACAUCAAUGAUGAGAGAAUCAUUGUUGCUGCUCCUGCACACCCCCUACUGGGGAUGGAGCCUGCAACCCAGGCAUGUGCCCUUGGCUAGAAUCAAACCUGGGACCCUUCGGUCUGCAGGCCAACACUCCAUCUGCUGAGCCAAACCAGCUAGGGCUGCCCACCACUUUAACAAAGAGGUCUUCUAUUUCUCCUUGGUGGAGCCACUUUUCAUGAAUUCACAUUUCCCAAAACAUAUCAUCAACACUUGUUGAGAAUCUUGGUGUGCCCAGCACUGAAGUGUAUUGAGGAGCUCCACAGGAGAGAGCAAAAGAGUAUGAGAGAUAGUCUGUCUUCACAGGGACUUGCAACGAGGUAGGGGAACACAACGAACACAUAGAGAAUUUUUAGAAGACACUGUAUAAUGCAGGACUGAACUGUGUAGUCUAGAUAGUAUGUACUACAGGAGUUCAGAGACGGGAGGUCCAUGUAGGCUGCAGAGGAGGCUUUGUGAGAACUGGGGUAAAGACAACACUCUUUACCUUGCAUCUGGGCUAGUCUUUCUUGGCCUUCGCUGUGAUUGUGAAAUCCUGGUAUGAACCUUUCACAUAGUGGUGGCAUUUUCAGUUUUGAGGCUGCAGUGAUGUCCUUCCUAUCACGUCAUCUGAAUGCCACUUCAUCUUUAUUGGUACAUUUGGGAGGGGUAAAACCCCAACGGUAUGCAAACACCGUCAUGGAUAUUUGCCUAAAGCCAUGGGAAGUUUCAUGCAAAACCAGUUUCUCAAUAGGGCAAAUGUUGUGUAAAGGUGUAAGAACUUGAGAAACUAGUUAAAGGCAAAGCCUGUCACAGCAAGAACCAAAUUUGAAUGGGGACACUUUUCUGUGUCAGCUAUGGUCUGCCUCCAGCCCCUCAACUGCUGAGCCCCCAUCCUUAAGCAUUUCUCCGACACGUUGGCCCAGAGGCCAAGGACCUUGUCCUCUGUAGCAAGAGCUCCUUAUCCCUCACCCCCUCAUCUGCCCACCUUCAGGUGCCACUCUAUCGAUAAGAGAUUCUAGUUCUGAAAAGUUGUUUCAGAAUUCUGGACCCUUUCUCACCCUCACACAACUAAGUGUGUUUCCCUUUUUUCAAAUUCCACCCUAAAUAUAAUCAGGGAAUGUGAUCCCAAGAGAUAGUUUGAGUUGAUAAGAUAGUCUAGUACAGUGGUUGGCAAACUCAUUAGUCAACAGAGCCAAAUAUCAACAGUACAACGACUGAAAUUUCUUUUGAGAGCCAAAUUUUUUAAACUUAAACUAUAUAGGUAGGUACACUGUUAUUAACUUAAUUAGGGUACUCCUAAGGCUUAGGAAGAGCCACACUCAAGGGGCCGAAGAGCCGCGAGCCACAGUUUGCUGACCACGGGUCUAGUAGAUUAAAUAUUCACUGUGUUUACUAUGCAUUCUGAAACAAUGCUAGACUGGUGAACAUCUUCCAGACUAGUUGAAGUCGUAAAAUGAGUACAAAGGAAACAGUACCUGAGUGUACCAUAUGCUGAAUCAGGGGUAACUGGUUUAGAAAAGUGAGAAAACAGUAAGUACGGACGAGAGUUUCAUGGAGGCAGGGUUUAGGACAGACUUUAAAGAAUGGGAAGAAUUUGGACAGGCAGGGAAGAGAAAUUAUGCCAUUCUAAAAAGAGAAGUACCAGAACCAAAGGCAAGGAAAGUGGAAGAUGUUUUAAUGAAAGUCAAGGUGGUCAGCCUGUCUGGAGGAAGGGUGGCACAGGAAUGUGCGUAGCAACAAUUAGUGGGAAAUGAGAUCAUAUGGAUAAGAUGAAUUCAUCAACAAACUUAGCAAACAUUUAUUAAGUGCUGAUUAGGUCUCUUGCACAUAAUAAUAGUAAUAGCUUACGCCUAUUACAGCUUACAAUGUGCCAGGCAUGUAUUAAGCAUUUUAUAUAUAUUAUCUCAUGUGAUUGUCACUACAGACCUAGGAGGUAUGCACGGUUAUAUCUCUGUUUUACAGACGAAAAACACGAAGCCCAGAGAGAUUAAGGAACUUGUUCCAGGUCACAUGGUUUCUGAGUAGAAAAGCCUGGAUUUGAACCAAGGGAGUCUGUUCAAAUGUGAGUUCUGAGUAUAUUGCUAACCUGCCUCCACACGUAUUUAUCUCAUUGAAUCCUCAUAAAAUUCCCUAUGAUGUACAUAUUAUCAUCCCCAUUUUUCAAAGGGGUAUCCAAGAGUGGUUCUGAUAAGUAUAAAGCUAGGAUCUGAAAGCAGGUCCACUCAUUCCACGUUCAUUUAACUUUCUAUUACAAUAUAGCUGCUGGCAGAAGGUCUUUCCAGAAUGGAAUCAAAUUGGGGGAACUGAACAGUCUGAUAAGGUUAAGAAGCCUACAUGGUAGGAAUAGGGGAGAACUUCAGGUUUUGAACAGAUAUGACUUGAUUAAUAAAGAUAGCUCUAGGUCUGGCACAGGAAUGCCAAUCAGGGGAAGAGUGGACACAGCACUAGAUGAUAUUAGAGGUGGUAAGGACCUAGA